rnacentral:rRNA from 1 species
UCUUCUUGNAUACUGUAGUAAUUCUNCAGCUAAUACAUGCCAAAUCCCAGACUCUUCGGGGAAAGGGAGGCAUUACCCACUUCAACGCUACUCGGGAUUCACGUCCCGAUAACCGUGAGUGGAGGUAAUAGUUCCGAAUCGCGUGCCUUUUAGGCGGCGAUCGACCAACCAAGUUUCUGCCUUAUCAACUAGAUGGUAGUGUAUUGGACUACCAUGGUGACAACGGGUAACGGGGAAUAAGGGUUCGAUUCCGGAGAGGGAGCCUGAGAGAUGGCUACCACUUCCAAGGAAGGCAGCAGGCGCGCAAAUUACCCAAUCUCAGUACGAGGAGGUAGUGACGAUNAAUAACGAUAUGACUCCUUCGGGAGUUAUAAUCGGAAUGAGUACAAAGUAAAUAUCUUAACGAGGAUCUAUUGGAGGACAAGUCUGGGUAGUGCUAUUGCCAGAUGUCAGACGAUAUCCACAACAAAUCGAAGGACUAUCGACCCUGGUCCUUUUUUGGUUGUGCC